rnacentral:misc_RNA from 1 species
AACGCACAUUGCGCCCCUCGGUAUUCCGUGGGGCAUGCCUGUUCGAGCGUCAUUUUCCUCCCUCAAACCUCGGGUUUGGUGUUGGGCCAAGUUGCGAUAUGUGAACAACUGGCCCCAAAGACAAUGACGGCGUCCGCGGGACCCUCGGUGCAACGAGCUUUCAGGAGCACGCGUCGAGUCUAAAGGUCCCUCCGGGCCGGUCCAACCCUUUUUUACUUCUAAGGUUGACCUCGGAUCAGGUAGGAAUACCCGCUGAACUUAA